CACGUAGGGCGCAAGCGUUGUCCGGAAUUAUUGGGCGUAAAGAGCUCGUAGGCGGUCUGUUGCGUCCGCUGUGAAAACUCGGGGCUUAACCCCGAGCCUGCAGUGGAUACGGGCAGACUAGAGGUAGGUAGGGGAGAAUGGAAUUCCCGGUGUAGCGGUGAAAUGCGCAGAUAUCGGGAGGAACACCCGUGGCGAAGGCGGCCAACUGGGCCGACUCUGACGCUGAGGCGCGAAGGCGUGGGGAGCGAACGGG
rnacentral:rRNA from 1 species